rnacentral:rRNA from 1 species
CAAUAGCGUAUAUUAAAGUUGUUGCAGUUAAAAAGCUCGUAGUUGGAUUUCUGAUCGAGACAUCAGGUCGGGUCCGAGAGGAUCAUGUACUUUGAUUUUGUUUUGAUCAUCCUUGGGGAGAGCAUUUCUGGCAUUCAGUUGUCGGGAUUGGGAUCCUCAUCGUUUACUGUGAAAAAAUUAGAGUGUUCAAAGCAGGCCUCGGCCUCUGAAUACAUUAGCAUGGAAUAAUAAGAUAGGACUUUGGUGGUCUAUUUUGUUGGUUUGCACGCCAAAGUAAUGAUUAAUAGGGAUAGUUGGGGGUAUUCGUAUUCAAUUGUCAGAGGUGAAAUUCUUGGAUUUAUGGAAGACGAACUACUGCGAAAGCAUUUACCAAAGAUGUUUUCAUUAA